CCUACGGGUGGCAGCAGUGAGGAAUAUUGGUCAAUGGCCGUAAGGCUGAACCAGCCAAGUAGCGUGAGGGAAGACUGCCCUAUGGGUUGUAAACCUCUUUUAUGCGGGGAUAAAGGCGACCACGUGUGGAUGUUUGCAGGUACCGCAUGAAUAAGGACCGGCUAAUUCCGUGCCAGCAGCCGCGGUAAUACGGAAGGUCCGGGCGUUAUCCGGAUUUAUUGGGUUUAAAGGGAGCGUAGGCUGGUCGUUAAGCGUGCCGUGAAAUGUUGUGGCUCAACCAUGGGAGUGCGGCGCAAACUGGAGACCUGGAGUGUGCGGAAGGAAGGCGGAAUUCGUGGUGUAGCGGUGAAAUGCGUAGAUAUCACGAAGAA
rnacentral:rRNA from 1 species